CCCGGACCCCCUGGGGAGGACUCAGGACCAGAGAGAGAAGCAUCCCUGCUGAUGAGAAAGAACAGACACUCCCAGAGGACAAGGUCCACCUGUCAGGCAGCCACAGCCCAGCAUACUCUGGAGUCUGAGGUGGGGGUCAGUUGUGAAGAAAGGGAAGAAGGAAGAAAAAGGAUACGUUGUGCUCCGACCACAGGCCAAGGUCAGAAGACGGUAUUUACCAAGUCUCUUCCCAAAAUACUUGCAAAUGCACAUAAUCUCAAAGUGUUUUUGAGGGCUCUUCCGAUCUAAAAUUGGUCCUAGUGACAAGGGGUGUUUGGGGAAAUCAAAGGGCUGGCUUAACUAUGUAGACCUAGGUCUGGUCUUAUUUCUGGCCCAUACGAUCAUCAUGACCUUGGACAAAUGAAACUUCCUGGGCCUCAAGUUCCUUGUAUCAGAAAGGAUGGCAUUCAGCUGCGUACAACAGAAAACCAAAUCACAGUGGCUUAUCCAAGAAAAGUUCAAUUUUUCUCAAAACUACAGCGUCCUGGGCUGAUGCGGCAGCCCCAGGACGACCUCAGCAUCUCACUCCUCCUUUCUUUACUCGGCCCCAUCCUCAGGCUGUGACUUUCAUCCUCAGGUUUGUCAUCUUUUGGUGGUAAGAUGGUUGCUCUACCUCAAGCUCACAAAAAGAAAUGGGGGAAAGCAGGAAAGAAGAAAAUCUGCUUCCCCAGAGACUCUGAGGCUGCACUUGCACAUCUUAUGGAUCCAAACUGUGUCCCAUGGCUGCCCCUAGAUGCAAGGGGCCUGGGGAAAUGAGCGGAUUCAUCAGGUACACUGCAACCGUACAUGAAAGGAAAGUUCUGUCAAUAAAGAAGAGCGAAAUCUACAUUUGGUCAGGAAACAGCAUUGCCUGCAAUAUGCCUCAUAUGAAAUAAAGCCUUUCUUGCCCCCAUUCUGCUACUCGGUCAUUCUUGCACUCAACAAAUAGAUGUUGAGUGCCCACUCUCUCCAGGCCAUGUUCUAGGUGCUGCGGAUGCAAUCCUGAAUCUAUGAACACGAUUGGCAGAACAAUAAAUAUUGAUUGUCUUGGCCACUCACCAAAUAAAGUGCUCCUGGGAAGGCUGAGAUCUAAUGCAAAGCAGCAGCUUGACUUUCUCACUCCCUGGCAACAAUGCCAAGCAAGAGAAAGCGAUGGGUAAGGCCUGGCUCAAGAGUCUCACUGCAACCUGCACUGUAGAUUCUACCUGCUAAUUUCCUCAGCCUUCUCUGGUUUUGGGCUUCAGAAUGCCCUAACUCUGGGCCCGGCGCGGUGGCUCACGCCUGUAAACCCAUCACUUUGGGAGGCCAAGGCGGGUGGAUCACAAGAUCAAGACCAUCCUGGCCAACAUGGUGAAACCCUGUCUCUACUGAAAAUACAAAAAUUAGCUGGGCAUGGUGGCUUGUGCUUGUAAUCCAGCUACUUGGAAGGCUGAGGCUGGAGGAUCGCUUGAACCCAGAAGGCAGAGGUUGCAGUGAGCUGAGAUCACACCACUGCACUCCAGCCUGGCAACAGAGUGAGACUCUGUCUCAAAAAAAAAAAAAAAAAAAAAAAGAAUGCCCUAAGUCUACUCUGGACCAUGAGCAAGGAUAAUCUGUCUUAGAGGAGAGAAGGUGAGGUUAUGAUUCCAGAGCAUUUGGUGACCCAGGAAGUAGACCUGCCUCCUCCUAUCUGUCCACAGAGCAGUCCUAGGGGCAAUAGGCCAUGAGAAGAUCAUGCCAGGCAGUCCAUUUCUAUAUUACCAUGUAAACAAAAACUCAGCUGUGAACCCUGGAACGUUCGUAUUCUGCAGCUGCCAGUGUAAACUGGUACAGGCCUCUUGAAGAACAGUGGGGAAAGGCACUCUGAAAGCAUCCACGCCUCCAUACCUGCUGAUCCAGGGCUCUGAUUUUCCUUCUGGGAACCAAGCCUAGGAGAAUGAUUCAAGCUGCAGAAAACCUUUCUCCACUAAGAUGUUUGCUGUGGCAUUCAGUAUAAUAGCACACCAGAGAAACAAUCUAAAGAUUCAUCAGUAGGAGAAUAUCUAAGUAAAUUAUGGUACAUACACUCAAUAAAAU
rnacentral:lncRNA from 10 species